rnacentral:rRNA from 1 species
CCUACGGGAGGCAGCAGUGGGGAAUAUUGCACAAUGGGGGCAACCCUGACGCAGCGACGCCGCGUGAGUGAAGAAGUAUCUCGGUACGUAAAGCUCUAUCAGCAGGGAAGAAAAUGACGGUUCCUGAAUAAGAAACCCCGGCCAACUACGUGCCAGCAGCCGCGGUAAUACGUAGGGGGCAAGCGUUAUCCGGAUUUACUGGGUGUAAAGGGAGGGUAGACGGCAGCGCAAGUCUGGAGUGAAAUCCCGGGGCUUAACCCCGGAACUGCUUUGGAAACUGUGUAACUGGAGUGAAGGAGAGGCAGGCGGAAUUCCCAGUGUAGCGGUGAAAUGCGUAGAUAUUAGGAGGAACACCAGUGGCGAAGGCGGCCUGCUGGACUGUAACUGACGUUGAGGCUCGAAAGCGUGGGGAGCAAACAGGAUUAGAUACCCGAGUAGUC